rnacentral:rRNA from 1 species
CGGGGCCCGCCCAAGCAGCGGAGCGUGUGGUUAAUUCGAUGAUACGCGAAGAACCUUACCUGGGUUGAAUUACGAGGUAGUAGAGAAGCGAAAGUGGAUCGACCCUUCGGGGAGCCUCGAUAGGUGCUGCAUGGCUGUCGUCAGCUNCGUGUCGUGAGAUGUUGGGUUAAGUCCCGCAACGAGCGCAACCCUCGUUACUAGUUAUACGUGUCUAGUGAGACUGCCGGUAUCAAACCGGAGGAAGGUGGGGAUGACGUCAAGUCAGCAUGGUCUUUAUGUCCAGGGCUACACACACGCUACCAAUGGCCGGUACAAUAGGUUGCUACACCGCGAGGUGAUGCUAAUCCGAAAAGCCGGUCUCAGUUCGGAUAGCAGUCUGCAACUCGACUGCUUGAAGGUGGAGUUGCUAGUAACCGCGCGUCAGCAUAGUGCGGUGAAUGCGUUCCCGGGCCUUGUACACACCGCCCGUCACAUCAUGGAAGUCGGUAACACCUGAAGUUGGUGACCUAACCGCAAGGGAGGAGCUGCCUAAGGUGGGGCCGGUAACUGGGAUGAAGUCGUAACAAGGUAACCUUA